rnacentral:rRNA from 1 species
GAUGAACGCUGGCGGCGUGCUUAACACAUGCAAGUCGAACGGAGUGCCUUUGAAAGAGGAUUCGUCCAAUUGAUAAGGUUACUUAGUGGCGGACGGGUGAGUAACGCGUGAGGAACCUGCCUUGGAGUGGGGAAUAACACAGUGAAAAUUGUGCUAAUACCGCAUAAUGCAGUUGGGCCGCAUGGCUCUGACUGCCAAAGAUUUAUCGCUCUGAGAUGGCCUCGCGUCUGAUUAGCUAGUUGGUGGGGUAACGGCCCACCAAGGCGACGAUCAGUAGCCGGCCUGAGAGGGUGAACGGCCACAUUGGGACUGAGACACGGCCCAA